CACUCAAAGAAAGAAAGUACAUCUCUGCAUUUUUGAUUUUGUGAUUCUGCAUAGCUAUACCAUUAAUGAUACUACUAUUGAUUAGAUGUACUGUGAAUUAGUAAUGAUACCAAAUCGCCUUCCAGUAGAACACACAUUAUCUUCCGUUACUUAAAAAUUUAAAUAAACGUUAUAUUUCUUAAAUAACCUAAACAAAAUUCUAUUAUGGACAAAAAUAAAGCAACUGUAAAAAUCACCAGCACUUCAAAGUAUUGCACAAAAUGAGAUGCAGGUGAUAAAGUUCUGCAAAUCAACCAAUAAUGUGUUAAAGAUCCUGCACUGUAGUUACACAUAUUGAACAUAAACAAUGCAAAGAAAUUCCCGUACAAAUAUAUGAAAACGCAUAAUAAUGAUCACAAUAACAGAUCAUAUUUCUUAGAUUGCCUAAAAAGAUACUACCAUGGGCACAAAGACAAAUGCCACUGUAAAAAUAACCAGCAGUCAGUGUGUUACUCCAUAUACAAGUAUCGCCCAAAAGAAAAUAUUUUCCCCAUUUAUUAGUCUUCUGUGAAAGAUGUGGUGGCAGCUUCUUCUAUCCUGUCUUAAAUGAAGAAUAAAAUCCUCUUAAGGACCUCUGCUAACAACCUCUCAUCUUAUCUGACAAGGCUGGCCAGAGAGCAGUGUCAGUGAUGCUACCAUAGUGGAUUAAUUUGUAGCAGGCUGUGCUCCAGUUGUACAUAAUGUAGAGGUGGAGGUCUCUCCAUCAGGAUAUGGUGUGAAAGGUGCGCAAUGGGCAAGUGGUAUAAUUUCUGUACCUGCAAGCAAAGACAGACAUACUCAUUGUAUUUGUUGCUCUGAAAUAUACUCUGGAUCUGUGAAAACUGCAUUUAACUAAUUCCAUUACUGUCUGAGGUCAAUUACAUAUCCGUAUAAUAUCUCAUAUUUUUAUUUAAAACUACAACCAAUUUAUGUCCAUGACUAAUUCUAAUUUAUCGAGUCAGAGAGAGGUAAACUGCAGGUAGCCCAUCCAUCACCAGCUGCAGCAGAUGGGCUGUCAUCUCCCCAUGCAAAACUAUCUAUUAUGUCUAUCUAUUACACCUUGACUGAAGCAACAACCCACUGUGUAGCGUUUAAUCGGCCCUAUGGAGUAUACAUUCAGUUAUUCAUUUUGUUGCUUAACAGUCAUGCUUUCGACCUGAACCGAUGUAGACAUCUCAGCUGAGGUCACUCUGCUGUCCAGGAUAUGAAAUGGCUAGGGAAAGGGACAGGUCAUCAGCUGGCUGCUAGUUAAGCUUAAACAAUUGGCUUUUCUUGACGCUAGUAAUGGCGUCAUUAUACAUAUCACUAGUUAACAAUGCUAAUAUCAAACAAAGCAGCAAGCUGCGAUUCAUGCUGCUUUUAGUAUUAACUUUUAUAGUAGCUAUCUGACAUGCCUAAAAUAAUUCACUGGCAGCUAACAAGCUUACAUUUCAUUUGUGCUUUGAGCUGUGCAUGUUAUUCUUUCACUUUAACUAGCUCAGUUCCGUGUCACUUUUUUUGUUGUUGACUGAUUGUAAGUAUACUCAGCUGCAUCAGGAGGCAUCAUGGUCUGUGUCAAUUAAUAAAUCCUGUUUAAAACUG